AGAGUUUGAUCAUGGCUCAGAUUGAACGCUGGCGGCAGGCUUAACACAUGCAAGUCGAACGGUAACAGGAAAUAGCUUGCUAUUUUGCUGACGAGUGGCGGACGGGUGAGUAAUGCUUGGGAAUUUGCCGAAAGGUGGGGGACAACAGUUGGAAACGACUGCUAAUACCGCAUAAUGUCUACGGACCAAAGGUGGCCUCUAUUUAUAUGCUAUCGCUUUUCGAUGAGCCCAAGUGGGAUUAGCUAGUUGGUAAGGUAAUGGCUUACCAAGGCGACGUUCCCUAGCUGGUCUUAGAGGAUGACCAGCCACACUGGAACUGAGACACGGUCCAGACUCCUACGGGAGGCAGCAGUGGGGAAUAUUGCACAAUGGGGGGAACCCUGAUGCAGCCAUGCCGCGUGUGUGAAGAAGGCUUUCGGGUUGUAAAGCACUUUCAGCGAGGAGGAAAGGGUAUUGCUUAAUACGUAAUAUCUGUGACGUUACUCGCAGAAGAAGCACCGGCUAACUCCGUGCCAGCAGCCGCGGUAAUACGGAGGGUGCAAGCGUUAAUCGGAAUUACUGGGCGUAAAGCGCGCGUAGGUGGUUAAUUAAGUCAGAUGUGAAAGCCCAGGGCUCAACCUUGGAACUGCAUUUGAAACUGGUUAACUAGAGUCUUGUAGAGGGUGGUAGAAUUUCAGGUGUAGCGGUGAAAUGCGUAGAGAUCUGAAGGAAUACCAGUGGCGAAGGCGGCCACCUGGACAAAGACUGACACUGAGGCGCAAGGCGUGGGGAGCAAACGGGAUUAGAUACCCCGGUAGUCCACGCAGUAAACGAUGUCUAUUAGAAGUUUGUGGCUAUAUGCCGUGGGUUUCAAAGCUAACGCAUUAAAUAGACCGCCUGGGGAGUACGGCCGCAAGGUUAAAACUCAAAAAUUGACGGGGGCCCGCACAAGCGGUGGAGCAUGUGGUUUAAUUCGAUGCAACGCGAAGAACCUUACCAUCCCUUGACAUCCAGAGAAUCUGUUAGAGAUAGUAGAGUGCCUUCGGGAGCUCUGAGACAGGUGCUGCAUGGCUGUCGUCAGCUCGUGUUGUGAAAUGUUGGGUUAAGUCCCGCAACGAGCGCAACCCUUAUCCUUAGUUGCCAGCACGUAAUGGUGGGAACUCUAGGGAGACUGCCGGUGAUAAACCGGAGGAAGGUGGGGACGACGUCAAUUCAUCAUGGCCCUUACGGGAUGGGCUACACACGCGCUACAAUGGCAAAUACAAAGGGUUGCUAACCUGCGAGGGUAUGCGAAUCUCAUAAAGUUUGUCGUAGUCCGGAUCGGAGUCUGCAACUCGACUCCGUGAAGUUGGAAUCGCCAGUAAUCGUGGAUCAGAAUGCCACGGUGAAUACGUUCCCGGGCCUUGUACACACCGCCCGUCACACCAUGGGAGUGGGCUGCACCAGAAGUCAUUAGCUUAACCUUUCGGGGAUGGCGAUGACCACGGUGUGGUUCAUGACUGGGGUGAAGUCGGAACAAGGUA
rnacentral:rRNA from 1 species